UGAGGCAGCUGUUGGAGAGGGAUGGGUCAAGGGAUGGAGGGUAGCACUGUGAGCUGAAAUAGGUGAAUUGGGAGGGAUGCUGGCUAGAGAAGAGGAGGCAAGAAGAGAUUGAAGGGAAAUCUCAAGGGGCUCCAGAGACUACUACGAUGGUGCAAAGUCACAGAAGCCCUGGGAAAAGCAGGUAGAAUGGAGUUGCCAUGACAUUGAGCCUCACCUAGAUGCCAGUUCCAGAUAUUGGCAGACUGCUGGCCUCCUGAGGAGCACAGGAAGGGGCCUGGCAGACUGGUGAUCCUGGUUGGAGAUGAAGAGGGGCUGAUUAAGAGGAGCUGACUGAGGCUGGGAGGUUUCCUGCCCGGGAGUGGCGAGCCUGUCAGAGCUGCACCUGGGCCUACCUGUACCUAGGAGAGAUUCAGGGUAUGGUUGGCUUCCCACAAACA
rnacentral:lncRNA from 1 species